rnacentral:tRNA from 1 species
UGGCUGAGUGGAAAAGCGCUUGGCUUCCGAACAGGGGGUUCCAGGUUCGAAUCCUGG